rnacentral:rRNA from 1 species
AGAGUUUGAUCCUGGCUCAGGAUGAACGCUAGCUACAGGCUUAACACAUGCAAGUCGAGGGGCAUCAGGAAGAAAGCUUGCUUUCUUUGCUGGCGACCGGCGCACGGGUGAGUAACACGUAUCCAACCUGCCCUUUACUCGGGGAUAGCCUUUCGAAAGAAAGAUUAAUACCCGAUAGUAUAAUGAUUCCGCAUGGUUUCAUUAUUAAAGGAUUCCGGUAAAGGAUGGGGAUGCGUUCCAUUAGGUUGUUGGUGAGGUAACGGCUCACCAAGCCUUCGAUGGAUAGGGGUUCUGAGAGGAAGGUCCCCCACAUUGGAACUGAGACACGGUCCAAACUCCUACGGGAGGCAGCAGUGAGGAAUAUUGGUCAAUGGGCGUUAGCCUGAACCAGCCAAGUAGCGUGAAGGAUGAAGGCUCUAUGGGUCGUAAACUUCUUUUAUAUAAGAAUAAAGUGCAGUAUGUAUACUGUUUUGUAUGUAUUAUAUGAAUAAGGAUCGGCUAACUCCGUGCCAGCAGCCGCGGUAAUACGGAGGAUCCGAGCGUUAUCCGGAUUUAUUGGGUUUAAAGGGAGCGUAGGUGGACUGGUAAGUCAGUUGUGAAAGUUUGCGGCUCAACCGUAAAAUUGCAGUUGAUACUGUCAGUCUUGAGUACAGUAGAGGUGGGCGGAAUUCGUGGUGUAGCGGUGAAAUGCUUAGAUAUCACGAAGAACUCCGAUUGCGAAGGCAGCUCACUGGACUGCAACUGACACUGAUGCUCGAAAGUGUGGGUAUCAAACAGGAUUAGAUACCCUGGUAGUCCACACAGUAAACGAUGAAUACUCGCUGUUUGCGAUAUACAGUAAGCGGCCAAGCGAAAGCAUUAAGUAUUCCACCUGGGGAGUACGCCGGCAACGGUGAAACUCAAAGGAAUUGACGGGGGCCCGCACAAGCGGAGGAACAUGUGGUUUAAUUCGAUGAUACGCGAGGAACCUUACCCGGGCUUAAAUUGCAGUGGAAUGAUGUGGAAACAUGUCAGUGAGCAAUCACCGCUGUGAAGGUGCUGCAUGGUUGUCGUCAGCUCGUGCCGUGAGGUGUCGGCUUAAGUGCCAUAACGAGCGCAACCCUUAUCUUUAGUUACUAACAGGUUAUGCUGAGGACUCUAGAGAGACUGCCGUCGUAAGAUGUGAGGAAGGUGGGGAUGACGUCAA